rnacentral:rRNA from 1 species
CUACCAUGGCAGUCACGGGUAACGGAGAAUUAGGGUUCGAUUCCGGAGAGGGAGCCUGAGAAACGGCUACCACAUCUACGGAAGGCAGCAGGCGCGCAAAUUGCCCAAUCCCGACACGGGGAGGCAGUGACAAGAAAUAACAACUCUAGGUUUUCUUAGAAGUGUAAUGGGGAUAAUUUACAAACCUUACCAAAUGCAAUUGGAGGGCAAGUCUGGUGCCAGCAGCCGCGGUAAUUCCAGCUCCAAUAGCGUAUAUUAAAGUUGUUGCAGUUAAAAAGCUCGUAGUUGAAAAUCUGAUUGCUCAGGUCUCCAGCCUUUAGGCGGGGAUUCUGACAGUCAUCCGCUUGCAAACAUAUGUUCGAUCUUCACCGGUUGGCUAUGUGAGUAAGCACCUUACCUUGAGAAAAACAGAGUGUUCCAGGCAGGUUUGUCCGGAAUGCAUUAGCAUGGAAUAAUAGAACAUGACUGAAGUCUAUUUAUUGGUUAAAGGCUUUAGUAAUGAUUAAUAGGAACAGUCGGGGGCAUUCGUACUCAGCAGUCAGAGGUGAAAUUCUAAGAUUUGCUGAAGACGAACUAAUGCGAAAGCAUUUGCCAAGGAUGUUUUCAUUAAUCAAGAACGAAAGUUAGGGGAUC